GAUGAACGCUGGCGGCGUGCCUAAUACGUGCAAGUCGAGCGAACAGAUGAGGAGCUUGCUCCUCUGACGUUAGCGGCGGACGGGUGAGUAACACGUGGAUAACCUACCUAUAAGACUGGGAUAACUUCGGGAAACCGGAGCUAAUACCGGAUAAUAUAUUGAACCGCAUGGUUCAAUAGUGAAAGACGGUUUUGCUGUCACUUAUAGAUGGAUCCGCGCCGCAUUAGCUAGUUGGUAAGGUAACGGCUUACCAAGGCAACGAUGCGUAGCCGACCUGAGAGGGUGAUCGGCCACACUGGAACUGAGAAACGGUCCAGACUCCUACGGGAGGCAGCAGUAGGGAAUCUUCCGAAAUGGGCGAAAGCCUGACGGAGCAACGCCGCGUGAGUGAUGAAGGUCUUCGGAUCGUAAAACUCUGUUAUUAGGGAAGAACAAAUGUGUAAGUAACUAUGCACGUCUGGACGGUACCUAAGCAGAAAGCCACGGCUAACUACGU
rnacentral:rRNA from 1 species